AUUGAACGCUGGCGGCAGGCCUAACACAUGCAAGUCGAGCGGAUGACGGGAGCUUGCUCCUUGAUUCAGCGGCGGACGGGUGAGUAAUGCCUAGGAAUCUGCCUGGUAGUGGGGGACAACGUUUCGAAAGGAACGCUAAUACCGCAUACGUCCUACGGGAGAAAGCAGGGGACCUUCGGGCCUUGCGCUAUCAGAUGAGCCUAGGUCGGAUUAGCUAGUUGGUGGGGUAAUGGCUCACCAAGGCGACGAUCCGUAACUGGUCUAAGAGGAUGAUCAGUCACACUGGAACUGAGACACGGUCCAGACUCCUACGGGAGGCAGCAGUGGGGAAUAUUGGACAAUGGGCGAAAGCCUGAUCCAGCCAUGCCGCGUGUGUGAAGAAGGUCUUCGGAUUGUAAAGCACUUUAAGUUGGGAGGAAGGGCAGUAAGCUAAUACCUUGCUGUUUUGACGUUACCGACAGAAUAAGCACCGGCUAACUCUGUGCCAGCAGCCGCGUAAUAC
rnacentral:rRNA from 1 species